rnacentral:tRNA from 1 species
UGUUUAUAGUAUAAUUUAUUACUUUAGCCCUUCAUCCUAAAAAUUUGAUGACUAGUCAAUAAACA